UUCUGGGCCGACCAUCGGGUCCGCCCGGAGAGGUCCUGCCUGGGUUGCCCGGGUUGGGACAGUUCCGGUGCGGUUCCCCCGAGCCAGCCUGCGGUCUGCGAAUCGUUCAUCUAGCGAAUUCAAUUUCCUCGUGAAAGGUAAUAAGUUCAAAUUUAGAACAUAAAAAAAGUGCAUCCGACGUAUCCGAAAACAGCAAGCCUUGGAUUACCAACCGCUCGAGCCUACUUGGAUGACAUCCGGCCAACGUGUUUGAAGAAGAAGUGCUGUUUUGUAAAUCAAAUAAAAAAACAAGUGAUCACGUGAAAUUAAAUAUUUGUCCAAAAUGAUAGUGCGCGAACAGAGCUAUUGUGGAGAGUGUGUGGCCUACUACGGCCGAUGAUGAUGCGAGCUAGCUGCAGCAAUUGCAGCCAAAGUGCACUAUGAUUGUUAUUUCAGACGCCGUCGGUGCAAUAUUCUUCAAAGUGCAGUCUAGUUGAGUCGAGAGAAAGAAGAAUAACUGGAACGGAAUAUUGUCUAUAAAUAAAAUGUUUGCGAGCCGGCUCCGAGCCAAGGAAAUGCAAUUUUGCGACGGUGCAUCUUUUGUUGAUUUUGUGCAGGGAUUGUGUGUGUGCGAGUUUGUGUAAAGUUAUAAUUUGCAAUUACGUGUGCUAGUUUCUGGUUUUCAGUUACAGGAUGGUGCUUCAGUAUAUAAAUGAAAUAUUUCUAUGUAAUCAUUAAAAAUCAAUGUGUACAAA